GCCCCCAUAGCCCAAUUGGCAGAGGCAACGGACUUAAAAUCCGUCAAGUGUCGGUUCGAUCCCGACUGGGGGCACCG
rnacentral:tRNA from 1 species